GGGGCCUUAGCUCAGUUGGUAGAGCGCAACGCUGGCAGCGUUGAGGUCAUCGGUUCGAACCCGUUAGGCUCCACCA
rnacentral:tRNA from 1 species